rnacentral:lncRNA from 1 species
UGGGCAUCUUAGUAAGACUUUGUCUCAAAAAUAAAAAAGGGCUGGGGAUGUAGCUCAGUUGUAGAGUGCUCCAAAAAAAGUCUUGUUAGAAGAGACAAAGUAAGUGGGUGCAGAGGUGCACGCCUGUAAUCCUACUUUGGAGACUGAGGCAGGAGGAUCCCAAGUUGAAGGCUGGCCCGGGCAACGUAGCAAGACCCUGUCAUUAAAUAAAAAGGACUGGGAUGUGGCUCAGUGGUAGAGCAUUUGCCUGACAAGCGUGAGGCUCCCCAACACUUAAAAAAAAAAAAAUUGAAGUCGUGCAUCGUCAAAUGCAGAAUUUUUCCUGUGUGGUCUGAAGAGGAAGAAGAGAGGGAUUGCCAUCUUUGUUAAAUGAUGCGGUGUUACUGCAGCAGGUCAGUGGAGACAUCUCACCUACCACUUUGGGCACCACAGCCUAGUGGCUAUGAUGUGUGGCUUUUGUGGCCAACCAGUCCUGGUUUCCACUCUGGGAAGUCCCUGUUACCCCAUGUGCAAUUGAUGUCCCUCCCCUGAGCUUCAUUUUGUUCCUAUGUGAAGAGGAAUCCUGUUAAUACUGCAAUAAGGUUAGUACUCACUCUCCUCCCAAAACCCACACAUUCACAUACACACUUAUGCUACCAGGUACUUAGCAAGCACCCAAAUCAGCAUUUUUGCUUAGUAGUACCUAUUAGGUACUAAAUAAACACUUUAGAUUCUAGAGUUAGAGAAUGUAAUGAAAUAAGUAGAUGAGCUAGUUUCAAGUAUUCUAAUGGAAGCACAAGUGCUGGGGUGGGGUAGCAGGACUGGGAACAGUUGUGGGUGUCAAGAAAAGGCCCUCAGAAGGUGUAUCUGAGUAGAAGUGACUUAGGCUCAUGGCCUGUGGUGAUGGGUGCUGGGUUUGUAGAAAUGGCUGAAGCCAUUUGACAGACUCCUCCCUGACCACAAACUUGUUUUGUGUCCCGCCUCUGCCCAGCAAAAAAAAGUUUGGAUCACUCAGUACAGAGUUGAGGGCCCUGGGAGUGGUGUGGAUCCUCUGGAGAAUGGUCUUCUGCGUGUGGGUCUCUAGUGGAAACAAGUUUACACGUGAGACAUGAGUCAGAUCCUCUACUACCUCAUUUUGUUUCUGGCUGGUGACAACCCCAGAGCCUGAUUUCUCCUCAGCAAGACAGAAGAGAAAGCUGAGGGGGAAGCAUUGCAGAGAGGCGAUUUGGGGUCUGAACCCCAAAAGACAAGGAACAGCCUCCCAUGUGAAUAUCUGGAAGCAGUGUGAUGGUUCCGUGGUGGGAGUGAGUGUUGGGGACUAGGGAGAAGGAAGACCUCCAGGGAAUGCAGUGUGCAUUGUGUUCCAUAGACCUGUGCUUUGGUGGCCCUGUUUAUGUGGAUACAAUUGGAGCGAGAAGGAUAUAGGAUGGACUGUGGGGCUUGCCGUGGCUGCCUCUGGGUCAUGGAUAAAGCUUGGGUGUGGUAGCUAGCCUCUAAGAUUGUUUCUGAUAAUGACCAGCCUCUGAUAUUCUCACUUUUGUGAAAUCCUCUCCCCGC